GACGAACGCUGGCGGCGUGCUUAACACAUGCAAGUCGAACGGAAAGGCCCUGCUUUUGUGGGGUGCUCGAGUGGCGAACGGGUGAGUAACACGUGAGUAACCUGCCCUUGACUUUGGGAUAACUUCAGGAAACUGGGGCUAAUACCGGAUAGGAGCUCCUGCUGCAUGGUGGGGGUUGGAAAGUUUCGGCGGUUGGGGAUGGACUCGCGGCUUAUCAGCUUGUUGGUGGGGUAGUGGCUUACCAAGGCUUUGACGGGUAGCCGGCCUGAGAGGGUGACCGGCCACAUUGGGACUGAGAUACGGCCCAGACUCCUACGGGAGGCAGCAGUGGGGAAUAUUGCACAAUGGGCGGAAGCCUGAUGCAGCAACGCCGCGUGCGGGAUGACGGCCUUCGGGUUGUAAACCGCUUUCGCCUGUGACGAAGCGUGAGUGACGGUAAUGGGUAAAGAAGCCACGGCUAACUACGUG
rnacentral:rRNA from 1 species